rnacentral:rRNA from 1 species
GCAGCAACGCCGCGUGAGGGAUGACGGCCUUCGGGUUGUAAACCUCUUUUAGCAGGGAAGAAGCGAGAGUGACGGUACCUGCAGAAAAAGCGCCGGCUAACUACGUGCCAGCAGCCGCGGUAAUACGUAGGGCGCAAGCGUUAUCCGGAAUUAUUGGGCGUAAAGAGCUCGUAGGCGGUUUGUCGCGUCUGCUGUGAAAUCCCGAGGCUCAACCUCGGGCCUGCAGUGGGUACGGGCAGACUAGAGUGCGGUAGGGGAGAUUGGAAUUCCUGGUGUAGCGGUGGAAUGCGCAGAUAUCAGGAGGAACACCGAUGGCGAAGGCAGAUCUCUGGGCCGUAACUGACGCUGAGGAGCGAAAGGGUGGGGAGCAAACAGGCUUAGAUACCCUGGUAGUCCACCCCGUAAACGUUGGGAACUAGUUGUGGGGUCCAUUCCACGGACUCCGUGACGCAGCUAACGCAUUAAGUUCCCCGCCUGGGGAGUACGGCCGCAAGGCUAAAACUCAAAGGAAUUGACGG